rnacentral:rRNA from 1 species
AUGGCCAUAGCCGUGUAUAACAUCAGCCGUUACUACGGUGCACCCGUGGAGAACACCAGGAUUGAUUUCCAAAAGUUAUAUUUGCGCCGAAUCUUUAAUGGAGAGAACUCCAACCAGGCACAGAUAAUAGAUGGGCAUGCUCAUACUGCUAGCCCAUUUGCCACGACUAGUGUCAACAACUGGGCAAUAUAUGAUGGCACUGGCGCGGGAGCAAGUAUAGUUGCCCGUGCAAAAGGCAUCCACGUGGAUGUUGAUAACUGGUACAUCUCAUUCGUCAUGGUGUUCGACACUAAAAGGUUCAUGUUCAGGGUCGGGCAGUUCAUGAUUCCGUCAACGCUUGCGAUAACGGGAACAUCCAUGGCGGAACCAGGGGAGUGGGCUAUUGUUGGCGGGACCGGCUACUUUGCAAUGGCGAGUGGUGUUAUCAAGAAAAUCGUGUACGUGAAUCCAUUCAGUUUUAAGAACGAUUGCGAACAAGUACAAGAGCUUACAAUCGAGGCAUUUUGCCGCACUCAACCUCAGCCCGCUGCACGGAUUGAACCACCACAUGGUAGUGAAAAUGCAGGAAUCGUUCGUGACAUUACAGAGCUGCCUCAGUACCUAGAAAGUGUGACAAUUACCACUGGAGGGGUAAUUGAUGCAUUCACAUUUUCCUACAUUGACCAAGCUGGGGGCAGACAAACCGUAGGUCCUUGGGGCGCUGGUGGACCAACUGACGCGGUCACUACAACAAUUCGGAUGCGCCCUUCAGAGUUUGUGAGGGCAAUACAUGGAACAUGGGGCAAAAUUGAUCCUAAAAUAAGUGAAGUCAUUGUUAUAACAUCACUUACAAUUGUCACCAACCUCCAAACAUAUGGACCUAUUGGAGAUCCCAACUAUAUGGGUAAGGAGAACAACACAGCUUUCAGCAUUGAAGUGCCACCAAACAGGGGCAUUAUGGGUUUCUAUGGACGUUCGGAACGGUAUCUCAAUGCGAUCGGCGUCUAUGCAAUGGAUCUUGGUCUCGUACAGUGA